GCCAGGAUUACAUAGUGGUUUGAGUGCUGGACUAUGACUGUGGAGACCAGGGUUCGAUUCCCUAUUCAGUCA